UCUAAGUCACUAUUGGGUGGUUUGAGUGCUGCUUUCUCAGAUUCUUCGAUGGCUUUGAACAUUACAGCCGAACCUUUUAUCAGCCGGAAUGUAAAAAAGGGGAAACAUUCUCAUAGUACAUACCGCCAUGGAGAAAGAUGCAUAUGAGAGUCCAACAGUUCUGCAAACGCUCCGGUUCCCAAAAGGACUCUUGUCAUCGUCGCAGAUUGCCGGGACAAGUAUGACGGGAAGGUUUCCCAUGUUUCCUUAACCACCACGAGAAAACCAGUGAGGGAUUUAUAUACCUGAAGAACAAGCAGCGAUGACCAGACCUUCGAGAUAAGGUACAGGUUUCAGAAGCUUAACAACAAUCCAUCCAAGAAUUCCUCCUAUCAGGAAGCUACAACGACCCGUGGAAGAGAG